rnacentral:misc_RNA from 1 species
AACCAUUCUCACCUGCGGCUAGACCUGCGGAGGGAUCAUUACAAGUGACCCCGGUCUAACCACCGGGAUGUUCAUAACCCUUUGUUGUCCGACUCUGUUGCCUCCGGGGCGACCCUGCCUUCGGGCGGGGGCUCCGGGUGGACACUUCAAACUCUUGCGUAACUUUGCAGUCUGAGUAAAUUUAAUUAAUAAAUUAAAACUUUCAGCAAUGGAUCU